UCCGAGUUGACCCCGGCAGUCUCCCAUGAGUCCCCGGCAUAACCCGCUGGCAACAUGGAACGAGGGUUGCGCUCGUUGCGGGACUUAACCCAACAUCUCACGACACGAGCUGACGACAGCCAUGCACCACCUGUACACCGACAAAAGGGGCCCCAUCUCUGAGGCUUUCCGGUGUAUGUCAAACCCAGGUAAGGUUCUUCGCGUUGCAUCGAAUUAAACCACAUGCUCCACCGCUUGUGCAGGCCCCCGUCAAUUCCUUUGAGUUUCGGUCUUGCGGCCGUACUCCCCAGGCGGGGCGCUUAAUGCGUUAGCUGCGGCACGGAAUCCGUGGAAGGGAUCCCACACCUAGCGCCCACCGUUUACGGCGUGGACUAC
rnacentral:misc_RNA from 1 species